rnacentral:tRNA from 1 species
GGUGGCUCAGUGGUAGAGCGCUUGCCUUGCAUGCAAAAGGUCCUGAGUUUGAUUCCUAAGCACCA